rnacentral:snRNA from 1 species
AUACUUACCUGGCAGGGGAGACACCUUGAUCAUGAAGGAGGUUUUCCCAGGGUGAGGCUCAGCCAUUGCACUCUGGCUGUGCUGACCCCUGCGAUUUCCCCAAAUGCGGGAAACUCGACUGCAUAAUUUGUGGUAGUGGGGGACUGCGUUCGCGCUUUCCCCUG